rnacentral:lncRNA from 1 species
GUAAUCCCAGCACUUUGGGAGGCCAAGGCAGGCUUAGGAUUUGGGAGACGUGGAGAAAGCACGUAUGCAGAAAACGAGAGGGAAGAAGAGCGCGUGCUGACUUGAGCAUUCAGAUCUCGCUGCCUUCUAACGGUGUGACUUUGGGUUGCUUACGCCUGUGGGCCUCAGUUUCCUAAUCUGUAAAAUGGGCAAAACGAACAACAAACAAUACCUACCUCACGGAUUGCUGUGAAGCUUGAACAAAAUAACGCAUGCAAAGUUAUUAACUCGGUACCUUCCAUGCAGAAGCUGCCCAGAUGAGACAGGAGAAUAUUAUUAUAAAUAACCUUUCA